rnacentral:rRNA from 1 species
AAGUAUAUGCAUAUUUUAUAUGUAGAAACUGCGAACGGCUCAUUAAAACAGUUAUAAUCUACUUGACAUUUUUUAUUAUAAGGAUAACUACGGAAAAGCUGUAGCUAAUACUUGCCUUUUGUAUUUUUUUCCAUUGGAAUAAAAUACAUCGUAUUUGUUAUGCCUUAUAAAAAAAAAGUUAAUAACAUAAGGAGUUAUAACAAAGAAGUAACACAUAAUAGAAUUUUAGUUCUAUUUUAGCGUGUAUCAAUCGAGUUUCUGACCUAUCAGCUUUUGAUGUUAGGAUAUUGGCCUAACAUGGCUAUGACGGGUAACGGGGAAUUAGAGUUCGAUUCCGGAGAGGGAGCCUGAGAAACGGCUACCACAUCUAAGGAAGGCAGCAGGCGCGUAAAUUACCCAAUUCUAAAGAAGAGAGGUAGUGACAAGAAAUAACGACAUAAGAUAUAAUUAUAUUUUAUAGUUAGAAUGAUAGGAAUUUAAAACCUUCCUAAAAUACCAUUGGAGGGCAAGUCUGGUGCCAGCAGCCGCGGUAAUUCCAGCUCCAAUAGCGUAUAUUAAAAUUGUUGCAGUUAAAACGCUCGUAGUUGAAUUUCAAGGAAUCUAUAUUUUAAGUAUUGCGACAAAUAAUGAUAUUUUUCUUAAGAGAGUGGUCUUCGCACUUCAUCUCUCUCUUGAAAUUUAUCUUUUUGUCAAUGCUUGCUUUUAAUAAAAAUGAUUCUUUUUAAAAUUUCUUAUUAUAAAUAUAAUAUGAAAUUUUGUUACUUUGAGUAAAUUAGAGUGUUCAAAGCAAACAGUUAAAGCUUUAAUCGGCGUUUGAAUACUAAAGCAUGGAAUAACAAAAUUGAACAAGUCAAAAUUUUGUUCUUUUGUUUUUUUUUGGCUUAGUUACGAUUAAUAGGAGUAGUUUGGGGGCAUUUGUAUUCAGAUGUCAGAGGUGAAAUUCUUAGAUUUUCUGGAGACAAACAACUGCGAAAGCAUUUGUCUAAAAUACUUCCAUUAAUCAAGAACGAAAGUUAAGGGAGUGAAGACGAUCAGAUACCGUCGUAAUCUUAACCAUAAACUAUGCCGACUAGGUUUUGGAUGAAAGAUCAUAAAUUUAGUUAUUAGUAUUAUUUACGAUGUAAAUAAUUUACUAAUUACUAAAAGUUGCUUCCUUCAGUACCUUAUGAGAAAUCAAAGUUUUUGGGUUCUGGGGCGAGUAUUCGCGCAAGCGAGAAAGUUAAAAGAAUUGACGGAAGGGCACCACCAGGCGUGGAGCUUGCGGCUUAAUUUGACUCAACACGGGAAACCUCACUAGUAUAAGACAAGAGUAGGAUUGACAGAUUGAUAAGUUCUUUCUUGAUUUCUUGGUUAGUGAUGCAUGGCCGUUUUUAGUUCGUGAAUAUGAUUUGUCUGGUUAAUUCCGAUAACGAACGAGAUCUUACCUUGCUAAUUAGCGGUAAAUACGCUGUAUUCUUAGUAAAAUUGUAAUAUUGAUUAUAUUGCUUCCUUUUUUGGUUGCAAUUUUUCAAUUUAAUUUUUUGCUUAAGAAUGUAUUUGCUUGAUUUAAA